GGCGUAUUGACAUGCCAUUGAGAAUAGAUGACAUUAAUUCGAUAAUUUCGAUAACUACGAUAUGCUAAAUUAUUGGUUUCCAUAGCUACACUUCGCCAACAUCUUUUAGUGAUUUCCGGAGACUUUUCUGAUUGCCUGCUGCUUCUAUCAUAUAAGCAAGGAUAUUGCCGAACCGCCUUAAUCAAAUCAUCUUCAAACAUGUUAGCUAGCUGCAAAUGUCGAGUCAUAAACAAAACUUUUUAGCUUCUGAUGCCUAUAUCGGAAAAAGUCGAUGCAUCGAACAUAUCGAUGUUUUGCUUGAAAGCUUCGAAA